AUUGAACGCUGGCGGCAUGCCUUACACAUGCAAGUCGAACGGUAACGGGCCUUCGGGUGCCGACGAGUGGCGAACGGGUGAGUAAUGUAUCGGACCGUACCUUUCAGUGGGGGAUAACGCAGCGACAGUUACGCUAAUACCGCAUAUUUUGAGAGCAGGAAAGAUGGGGAACGCAAGACCUUGCGCUGAUUGUGGGGCCGAUAUCAGAUUAGCUAGUUGGUGAGGUAAAGGCGCACCAAGGCGACGAUCUGUAUCGGGUCUGAGAGGAUGAGCCGCCACACUGGAACUGAGACACGGUCCAGACUCCUACGGGAGGCAGCAGUGGGGAAUUUUGGACAAUGGGGGCAACCCUGAUCCAGCCAUGCCGCGUGAGUGAAGAAGGCCUUCGGGUUGUAAAGCUCUUUCGGCCGGGAAGAAAUCGUAUGGGUUAAUACCCUGUGCGGAUGACGGUACCGGCAUGAGAAGCACCGGCUAACUACGUGCCAGCAGCCGCGGUAAGAC
rnacentral:rRNA from 1 species